rnacentral:lncRNA from 1 species
GAGAGGAGUGCAUGUUAUUAUCAUAAGCACAUAAAAAGAAUAAACAAGGACCAAUAUGGCUCAAAUGAAGAUUUUCUUUUUCUUACAGAGAAGUUUCCUAGAAAAAUAAAACCCUGGAAGAAGAACAGCAAUGAGAUAUCCUAAGACACUCCUACCCAUUAACAUUUGUAAAUGCAAAGAGACGUCCUCAAAUCUGGACAUUCUUCCAAUCAUAUAAUGCGAGAAGUGCAUAAAUUUAACACCACCACAGAUAUUUUGCCUUCUCAUUCUUGCCAAAACCUUUGAAAUGUUUUAUGAGAAAUUGCUCCCUGAUCAUAGUUCCCACCUGGUAUUCGACACGAACAAACAAAUUAUUCCACUAGAGGGUAAUGGCCUGAAAAUGAAACUACGUAUGUGUAAUUGUUCUUAAACUGAACCUGCACUUGAAUGAUAUGCGAAAAGGUGUAUGAGAUCUCCAAAUCUGCAUCAUAUUAUUUGUAGUAAUUUCUAUAUUUCUUCUGAGUUCUUCUGUCCCAACAAUAGCCAGGUUUGGAUGCUGUAAUUCUUAUGCGUUUUGCACUAUAUCCUUAGAGUAUGUAGAUGCUGUAAUCAUUUCCAGAUUACGAGAUCCGUAUGUUCUGUAAAUUUUAAUUUUUUUUAUCAGUUCAGUACGCCAAGUUGAGUUGCCAUGGUGCCACUUUU